GUACAUAUACUAAAACUGGAAUUGGAAUAAUACAGAGAAGAUUAGCAUGGCCCCUAGGCAAGGAUGACAUGCAAAUUCGUAAGCGUACCAUAUUUAA
rnacentral:snRNA from 1 species